rnacentral:rRNA from 1 species
UACGUAGGGUCCGAGCGUUAAUCGGAAUUACUGGGCGUAAAGCGUGCGCAGGCGGUUUUGUAAGCCCGAUGUGAAAGCCCCGGGCUCAACCUGGGAACUGCAUUUGGGACUGCAAGGCUUGAGUACGGCAGAGGGGGGUAGAAUUCCUGGUGUAGCAGUGAAAUGCGUAGAUAUCAGGAGGAAUACCGAUGGCGAAGGCAGCCCCCUGGGUCGAUACUGACGCUCAUGCACGAAAGCGUGGGGAGCAAACAGG